rnacentral:rRNA from 1 species
AGUGAACGCUGGCGGUAUGCCUAACACAUGCAAGUCGAACGGCAGCACAGUAAGAGCUUGCUCUUACGGGUGGCGAGUGGCGGACGGGUGAGGAAUACAUCGGAACCUACUUUUUCGUGGGGGAUAACGUAGGGAAACUUACGCUAAUACCGCAUACGACCUACGGGUGAAAGCAGGGGAUCUUCGGACCUUGCGCGAUUGAAUGAGCCGAUGUCGGAUUAGCUAGUUGGCGGGGUAAAGGCCCACCAAGGCGACGAUCCGUAGCUGGUCUGAGAGGAUGAUCAGCCACACUGGAACUGAGACACGGUCCAGACUCCUACGGGAGGCAGCAGUGGGGAAUAUUGGACAAUGGGCGCAAGCCUGAUCCAGCCAUACCGCGUGGGUGAAGAAGGCCUUCGGGUUGUAAAGCCCUUUUGUUGGGAAAGAAAAGCAGCAGGUUAAUACCCCGCUGUUCUGACGGUACCCAAAGAAUAAGCACCGGCUAACUUCGUG